CAAUGCGUAGGACUUACCUAUAACAAGAUUAUAGUGAUUACAUGAUAUCCAAUGAUACAGAUUUCAAUUUUAUUUAUUGAAUCAAAGAUUGUUUCGAUUUCUAGCUAUGUGAGAUUAAAUGAUUAAAAGAAAUAAAAAAAUAUAUAUAUAUAUAUAAAUAAAAAAUAAAUAAAUAAAGAAUAUAGACUCGAGCCGUAAUCCAAUGAAUUUGAAAUGGAAUCGAUCCUACGAUUAACUCGAAGUUUCGAUGUUUCGAAGUUUUGGACCAAAGCCAGAAACAAGAAACCAUGAGGAAUAUAUAUACAUACGUAGAGUCAACGACGUGCCAGAAAACGUUAUCUCUCACGCGUUACGUUCUUUCCUGGCUCUCUUUUAGGCUUGUGUGUUCUCGUUGAACAAUGAUCUACCUGUUCUAAGUGCAUCCAACGUUGAUCGUAUUAAAUUGCUUUACUGCCGCAGAAAAUAUGAAUAUGAACGACCUCCAUGAUUGGAAGAUCUUGAACUCGUUUUUCGAACAAAAAAGUACGAGCAGUCGAGAACGCUCGAGGAACAUCCUCGUCGUCGCCAAGAAGGAAUUUGGACGUCGACCAAAACGUACGAUAUACAUAUGCGACUAAGAAGACGAUGAGAAUUAAGACGAUGAGAGUGUGCAAGAGAGAAAGAGAGAAAGAGAGAACUAAAGAGAUAGAGAGAAAGAGAAAGAGCAUCUAUCUACCUUACCUUUCUCGAUCACGAAACAAUUCUCGAAAGAGAUCUCGAUUUUUUCAAUUCCAUCUUUCAUUUUCACGUAUUUUGUUAACCUUUUACAGACGAAAUUAGAAUCUUUCUGAGAAAACUCA